rnacentral:tRNA from 1 species
GGGCCGGUAGUUCAGACUGGAAGAAUACCCGGUUUGCACCCGGGAGGUCGGGGGUUCAAGUCCCCCCCGGUCCA